UCCCUGGCCAUGGCGUUCACAUUCGCGGCCUUCUGCUACAUGCUGGCGCUGUUGCUCACCGCCACGCUCAUCUUCUUCGCCAUUUGGCACAUUAUAGCAUUUGAUGAGCUGAAGACUGAUUACAAGAAUCCUAUAGACCAGUGUAAUACCCUGAAUCCCCUUGUACUCCCAGAGUACCUCAUCCAUGCUUUCUUCUGUGUCAUGUUUCUUUGUGCAGCAGAGUGGCUUACACUGGGUCUCAAUAUGCCCCUCUUGGCAUAUCAUAUUUGGAGGUAUAUGAGUAGACCAGUGUUGAGUGGACCAGGACUCUAUGAUCCUACAACCAUCAUGAAUGCAGAUAUUCUAGCAUAUUGUCAGAAGGAAGGAUGGUGUAAAUUGGCUUUUUAUCUUCUAGCAUUUUUUUACUACCUACACGGCAUGAUCUAUGUUUUGGUGAGCUCUUAGAACAACACACAGAAGAAUUGGUCCAGUUAAGUGCAUGCAAAAAGCCACCACAUGAAGGGAUUCUAUCCAACAAGAUCCUGUUUCCAAGAGUAGCCUGUGGAAUCUGAUCAGUUACUUUAAAAAUGACUCCUUAUUUUUUAAAUGUUUCCACAUUUUUUUUCUUGUGGAAAGACUGUUUUUAUAUGUUAUACUCGGAUAAAGAAUUUAAAUGGAAUUACAUAUAAAUUAAUAUAAAAUGAUUACCUCUGGUAUUGACAGGUUUGAACUUGCACUUCUUAAGGAACAGCCAUAAUCCUCUGAAUGAUGCAUUGAUUACUGACUGUCUUAGUACAUUGGAAGUUUUUGUUUAUAGGAACUUGUAGGGCUCAUUUUGGUUUCAUUGAAACAGUGUCUAAUUAUAAAUUAGUUGUAGAUAUCAGGUGCUUCUGAUGAACUGAAAAUGUAUAUCUGUCUAGUGGGAAACUUCUUGGGUUUUCUCAUCUGUCAUGUAGAUGAUUAUAUAUGGAUACAUUUACAAAAAUAAAAAGCAGGAUUUUUCCCUUUGACUUGAUACUAUCCCUGUAUAUUGCAUGAAUGAGAGAUUUCCCAUAUUUCCAUCAGAGUAAUAAAUAUACUUGCUUUAAUUCUUAAGCAUAAGUAAACAUGAUAUAAAAUAUAUAUGCUGAAUUACUUGUGAAGAGUGCAUUUAAAGCUAUUUUAAAUGUGUUUUUAUUUGUAAGACAUUACUUAUUAAGAAAUUGGUUAUUAUGCUUACUGUUCUAAUCUGGUGGUAAAGGUAUUCUUAAGAAUUUGUAGGUACUUUAGAUUUUCAAAACUGAAUGAGAGAGAAAAUUGUAUAACCAUCCUGCUGUUCCUUUAGUGCAAUACAGUAAAACUCUGAAAUUAA